rnacentral:rRNA from 1 species
CCUACGGGUGGCAGCAGUAGGGAAUCUUCCACAAUGGGGGCAACCCUGAUGCAGCGACACCGCGUGAGUGAAGAAGUAAUUCGUUAUGUAAAGCUCUAUCAGCGGGGAAGAAAAUGACGGUACCUGAGUAAGAAGCCCCGGCUAACUACGGGCCAGCAGCCGCGGUAAUACGUAGGGGGCAAGCGCUAUCUGGAUGUACUGGGUGUAAAGGGAGCGUAGACGGCAGUGCAAGUAUGGAGUGAAAGGCGGGGGCUCAACCCCAGGAGUGCACUGGAAACUGGACGGCUGGAGUGCAGGAGAGGUAAGUGGAACUCCAUGUGUAGCGGUGGAAUGCGUAGAUAUUAGGAGGAACACCAGUGGCGAAGGCGGCUGACUGGACUGUAACUGACGUUGAGGCUCGAAAGCGUGGGGAGCGAACAGGAUUAGAUACCCCGGUAGUC